AUUGAACGCUGGCGGAAUGCUUUACACAUGCAAGUCGAACGGCAGCACGGGGGCAACCUUGGUGGCGAGUGGCGAACGGGUGAGUAAUGUAUCGGAACGUACCCAGUCGUGGGGGAUAACUAUCCGAAAGGAUAGCUAAUACCGCAUACGUCCUGAGGGAGAAAGCGGGGGAUCGCAAGACCUCGCGCGAUUGGAGCGGCCGAUAUCGGAUUAGCUAGUUGGUGAGGUAAAGGCUCACCAAGGCGACGAUCCGUAGCGGGUCUGAGAGGACGACCCGCCACACUGGAACUGAGACACGGUCCAGACUCCUACGGGAGGCAGCAGUGGGGAAUUUUGGACAAUGGGGGAAACCCUGAUCCAGCCAUUCCGCGUGAGUGAAGAAGGCCUUCGGGUUGUAAAGCUCUUUCAGCAGGAGCGAAACGGUCGGCUUUAAUAAAGUCGGCUAAUGACGGUACCUC
rnacentral:rRNA from 1 species